CUUGAUCGACCCGAGCAGCAGGGGCCGGUCGUCCGCCCGCUCCUGCCCGUAGGUCGCCAGCAGGGCCUGCGCCUC
rnacentral:antisense_RNA from 1 species